UUCCCAAAAGUUCUCAGAUGUUCGGGAAAGAUCAAUAAUUCUCCUGCUGCUGCUGAUGUAAGAGCACCAUGCUCUUGGACUUGCCAGCUUCCAGAACUGUAAGAGGGCUAGAAGAUGUUCAAGAAAUCAUAGGGGUGGAUGUGGAGGAUGGGGACCUUGCUGAACUAGAGUCUGGCGAUGUGCCCAGUGGUUCUAUUCUAUGACUGAGCUAUGUAACCCCAGUUGCUACACGAAUGAAAGCCUCCCAUGCCAUCGAUCAAUUCAACUCUUAUUUUAAUCCUGAUGUUGACAUACAAGUCCAUACAUAGUACAGGACCACAAGACGACAGAAGGGGAGAGCUCGCUCAGCAUGGAAGUGCCUUGUAUUGAUGGAAUAGGGACCAAGGAGUUGUGAAGGAAAACUGUCUUCCCUUUAUUUCAGAUAGCACAGUCUGCCAAAGCUUUUCUGCUCCUCUAACAACAUUUGUCUUUAGGUUUACCAACCUGUGGUUUAAAAUAAAUGCUUUUGUGCACCAAU